rnacentral:rRNA from 1 species
CCUACGGGUGGCAGCAGUAGGGAAUCUUCGACAAUGGGCGCAAGCCUGAUGCAGCAACGCCGCGUGGGUGAAGAAGGUCUUCGGAUCGUAAAACCCUGUUGUUAGAGAAGAAAGUGCGUGAAAGUAACUGUUCACGUUUCGAUGGUAUCUAACCAGAAAGCCACGGCUAACUGCGUGCCAGCAGCCGCGGUAAUCCGGAGGUGGCAAGCGUUAUCCGGCUUUAUUGGGCGUAAAGGGAACGCAGGCGGUCUUUUAAGUCUGAUGUGAAAGCCUUCGGCUUAACCGGAGUAGUGCAUUGGAAACUGGGAGACGUGAGUGAAGAAGAGGAGAGUGGAACUCCAGGUGUAGCGGUGAAAUGCGUAGAGAUAUGGCAGAACACCAGUGGCGAAAGCGGAUCUCUGGUCUGUAACUGACGCUGAGGUUCGAAAGCGUGGGUAGCAAACAGGAUUAGAUACCCCUGUAGUC